GUGUGCAUAUCAAUAAGCGGAGGAAAAGAAACCAACAGGGAUUGCCUCAGUAGCGGCGAGUGAAGCGGCAAGAGCUCAGAUUUGAAAUCGUGCUUUGCGGCACGAGUUGUAGAUUGCAGGUUGGAGUCUGUGUGGAAGGCGGUGUCCAAGUCCCUUGGAACAGGGCGCCCAGGAGGGUGAGAGCCCCGUGGGAUGCCGGCGGAAGCAGUGAGGCCCUUCUGACGAGUCGAGUUGUUUGGGAAUGCAGCUCCAAGCGGGUGGUAAAUUCCAUCUAAGGCUAAAUACUGGCGAGAGACCGAUAGCGAACAAGUACUGUGAAGGAAAGAUGAAAAGCACUUUGAAAAGAGAGUGAAACAGCACGUGAAAUUGUUGAAAGGGAAGGGUAUUGCGCCCGACAUGGGGAUUGCGCACCGCUGCCUCUCGUGGGCGGCGCUCUGGGCUUUCCCUGGGCCAGCAUCGGUUCUUGCUGCAGGAGAAGGGGUUCUGGAACGUGGCUCUUCGGAGUGUUAUAGCCAGGGCCAGAUGCUGCGUGCGGGGACCGAGGACUGCGGCCGUGUAGGUCACGGAUGCUGGCAGAACGGCGCAACACCGCCCGUCUUGAAACACCGGACCACACGCCG
rnacentral:rRNA from 1 species